UACGUAGGGUGCGAGCGUUGCCCGGAUUUAUUGGGCGUAAAGGGCGCGUAGGCGGCGUGACAAGUCACUUGUGAAAUCUCUGAGCUUAACUCAGAACGGCCAAGUGAAACUGUUGUGCUAGAGUGCGGAAGGGGCAAUCGGAAUUCUUGGUGUAGCGGUGAAAUGCGUAGAUAUCAAGAGGAACACCUGAGGUGAAGACGGGUUGCUGGGCCGACACUGACGCUGAUGCGCGAAAGCCAGGGGAGCAAACGGG
rnacentral:rRNA from 1 species